AUGCGAGUAGUCCCUGACCCGCUGAAGGUGGGAAACCGAGAAACCAAGCUGGGAAAGAACAGACUUACCGCCUGCCCCGCAGAAGAUCCACUAGAUCGCCGGCUCCAAGAUCUGAGAGGCCUCAAACAGGUUCCAAAUCCGCAGAGUUCUCUGAGACUUCGAGUGUUUGGAAGGAUUCUAGAAAUCACUGGCAGAUCCCGGAUAUCUCAGACCCGCAGGGCUCAUCUAUACAAGGAGGCGCUUGAUGGAUGGAAGGAGGAAGGCAAUGACCAAUCCCCGGAUGAUGCCAGGGCAUAUAAGGAGCUUGGACUGAAGUUACUCCCAACAGCUGCUGUAACAGUGAACCCAGGCGGAUGGAAACCAGUGGCCUCUGCACAAUGA
rnacentral:lncRNA from 1 species